GCGUUGAAGCGAAAGGUUGCUGCACUUGUGCAGGUUUUUUCGUGGAGUAUGUCCGAUUUCAAACCGGGCGAC
rnacentral:ncRNA from 1 species